rnacentral:rRNA from 1 species
GACGAACGCUGGCGGCGUGCUUAACACAUGCAAGUCGAACGGAAAGGCCUUUUCGGAGGUACUCGAGUGGCGAACGGGUGAGUAACACGUGGGUGAUCUGCCCUGCACUCUGGGAUAAGCCUGGGAAACUGGGUCUAAUACCGGAUAGGACCGCACUUUAGUGUGUGUGGUGGAAAGUUUUUUCGGUGUAGGAUGAGCCCGCGGCCUAUCAGCUUGUUGGUGGGGUAAUGGCCUACCAAGGCGGCGACGGGUAGCCGGACUGGGAGGUUGGUCGGCCACAUUGGGACUGAGAUACGGCCCAGACUCCUACGGGAGGCAGCAGGUGGGAAUAUUGCACAAUGGGGGCAAGCCUGAUGCAGCGACGCCGCGUGGGGGAUGACGGCCUUCGGGUUGUAAACUCCUUUCGCCAGGGACGAAGCGUUUUGUGACGGUACCUGGAGAAGAAGCACCGGCUAACUACAUG